GAUGAAGAACGUAGCGAAAUGCGAUACGUAAUGUGAAUUGCAGAAUUCAGUGAAUCAUCGAAUCUUUGAACGCACAUUGCGCCUGCCAGCACUCUGGCAGGCAUGCCUGUUCGAGCGUCAUUUCAACCAUCAAGCCCUAGGCUUGCGUUGGAGCCCUGCGGCUGCCGCAGGCCCCUAAAAGCAGUGGCGGGCUCGCUAUCACACCGAGUGCAGUAGAUUACUCUUCGCUCAGGGCGUGUGGCGGGUUCCAGCCGUGAAACCCCCUACUUCUCAAGGUUGACCUCGGAUCAGGUAGGAAUACCCGCUGAACUUAAGCAUAUCAAUAAGCGGAGGA
rnacentral:misc_RNA from 1 species